rnacentral:rRNA from 1 species
AUGGAUCAUAUCUUAAUCUCUAGUGAGACCCUGGAAGAACAUUUGGAACAUCUCAGAAUAGUGUUUCAAACCUUAAGAGAGCAUCAGUUCUUUGCUAAGAGUACCAAAUGCACUUUUGCACAGCAACAAUUGGAAUAUCUAGGACACAUCAUUUCUGACAAAGGGGUUCAGACAGAUCCUGAGAAAACUUUGGCUAUGGCCAGGUGGCCUACUCCUCAGAACGUGACUGAAUUAAGAGGGUUUUUGGGGCUCACGGGAUAUUACAGGAAGUUUGUGCAAGGAUAUGGUAUAAUUGCUAAACCACUCACUCAACUACUGAAGAAACAAGCAUUUGCUUGGUCCUCAGAGGCCCAGGAAGCCUUUGAGAAACUCAAGGCAGCGAUGAUGACUACUCCUGUAUUAGUGUUGCCUGACUUUGACCAGCCGUUCUGCAUUGAAACAGAUGCAUGUGCUACAGGAAUUGGUGCUGUGCUCACUCAAGGAGGACACCCUGUUGCCUUUUAUAGCAAAGCUUUGGGCAUCAAAAAUCAAUCUCUGUCCAUCUACGAAAAGGAGUUUUUGGCAAUUAUGAUGGCUGUAGAAAAAUGA